rnacentral:rRNA from 1 species
UACCGAGGGCUCAAGCGUUGUUCGGAUUCAUUGGGCGUAAAGGGUGCGUAGGUGGCGCCGUAAGUCAGGUGUGAAAUCUCGGGGCUCAACCCCGAAACUGCACUUGAUACUGCGGUGCUCGAGUACUGGAGAGGAGAUUGGAAUUUACGGUGUAGCAGUGAAAUGCGUAGAUAUCGUAAGGAAGACCAGUGGCGAAGGCGAAUCUCGGGACAGUUACUGACACUGAGGCACGAAGGCCAGGGGAGCAAACGGG